CUAUUUGAAAGGGUUAACGGAUGUUGAUCGGAACGAAACUCGCUGGGUACGUUCGACUCAUGAACCUUAAGGUCUGUAAGAAUUUUGAAAGAAAUCGGCCACUAGUUGGCGCUAACGAGUUUUAUGGCUCUGUAAUCACGUGGUGUUUCACAUAUCAACACAAUAUGCAUAUCAUUUGAUAGAUCUCCUCAUAAUGCACAACUUUGCCUCAAGAACCAUUGCUGUCAAUCAAAUCGUUCAAUUGUUAUUCACAAAUAUGUUAAAAACCUACUUUUGCGAACUAGUCCUAGAUUUUUUGCCCGAUCAGAACCAAACCACUGCAGUAAUAUUCUGUGGACUCUCUAGAUCAAUAAUUAUCAAAAAAAUGUUGAAUUUUGUCCUUUGGUUAGCUGUAAAGGGGUAAUUUAGAAAAAGGGGUGUGGCCAAACAUACCCCAAAGCCUAUAAAACCUAAACGAAAACUCAAAACUUUAUGAAACUAGGUGAAAUCAUGUAACAGGUGACUCUCAACAAGGCUGCAAAGUUUCAUGGAGAUUGAUCCAUAGGUGGCGCUAUAACAGUAGAAAAGGUCUCAUAACACAAGAUUUAGAUGGUAAAUGGCCUCAAACUGUUUGAAAAUGCACAUAUAUUCACUCAAAAACACCAAAUCUUCAUAUCAUAUGAUAGAUCUCCUCAUUCUGAAAAACUUUGCCUCUGGGACCAAUUUUGUCAAUAAAUCUGUUAAUUAAAUAUUCAAGAUUAUUUGAAAAAGUUACUUUGGCAAAGUAUUCCAAGGCUUUAAGCUGAAAAUCAAUAAAACCACUGAAGUACAAUUCUCUAGACUCAGAAGGUCAAUAAUUAUCAAAAACAUGUUGAACAAUUGCAUUUGGACAACUAUAAACCAGUAAUUUUAUAAUACGUUCUUUUCAUAGUGUACACAAAGGCCUAUUAAUACAAACAGAAAGCCCACACAUUAUCAAAACUGUGUAAAACAAUGCAUAAUUUCAUUCUAAACAAGCAUGCAAAA